rnacentral:rRNA from 1 species
GACGAACGCUGGCGGCGUGCCUAAUACAUGCAAGUCGAACGCACUCUCGUUUAGAUUGAAGGAGUUUGCUCCUGAUUGAUAAACAUUUGAGUGAGUGGCGGACGGGUGAGUAACACGUGGGUAACCUGCCCUAAAGUGGGGGAUAACAUUUGGAAACAGAUGCUAAUACCGCAUAAAACCUAACACCGCAUGGUGUAGGGUUGAAAGAUGGUUUCGGCUAUCACUUUAGGAUGGACCCGCGGUGCAUUAGUUAGUUGGUGAGGUAAAGGCUCACCAAGACCGUGAUGCAUAGCCGACCUGAGAGGGUAAUCGGCCACACUGGGACUGAGACACGGCCCAGACUCCUACGGGAGGCAGCAGUAGGGAAUCUUCCACAAUGGACGAAAGUCUGAUGGAGCAACGCCGCGUGAGUGAAGAAGGUUUUCGGAUCGUAAAACUCUGUUGUUGGAGAAGAAUGUAUCUGAUAGUAACUGAUCAGGUAGUGACGGUAUCCAACCAGAAAGCCACGGCUAACUACGUGC